UACGGAAGAUCCAAGCGUUAUCCGGAAUUACUGGGCGUAAAGAGUUGCGUAGGUGGCAUUGUAAUCGGGGCAUGAAAGCGUGUGGCUCAACCAUACAGACAUGUUCUGAACUGCAAAGCUAGAGAGCGAGAGAGGUUACUAGAAUUCCUAGUGUAGGAGUGAAAUCCGUAGAUAUUAGGAGGAAUACCGAUGGCGUAGGCAGGUAACUGGCUCGUCUCUGACACUAAGGCACGAAAGCGUGGGUAGCAAACGGG
rnacentral:rRNA from 1 species